GUGUCAGCCGCCGCGGUAAUACGAAGGGGGCUAGCGUUGUUCGGAAUUACUGGGCGUAAAGGGCGCGUAGGCGGUCUUGUAAGUCAGAUGUGAAAGCCCCGGGCUCAACCCGGGAAUAGCAUUUGAUACUGCGAGGCUUGAGUCCGGGAGAGGAUGGCGGAAUUCCCAGUGUAGAGGUGAAAUUCGUAGAUAUUGGGAAGAACACCGGUGGCGAAGGCGGCCAUCUGGACCGGUACUGACGCUGAGGCGCGAAAGCGUGGGGAGCAAACAGGAUUAGAUACCCCCGUAGUCC
rnacentral:rRNA from 1 species